AGAGUUUGAUCAUGGCUCAGAUUGAACGCUGGCGGCAUGCCUUACACAUGCAAGUCGAACGGUAACAGGGAGCUUGCUCCGCUGACGAGUGGCGAACGGGUGAGUAAUAUAUCGGAACGUACCUUUGAGUGGGGGAUAACUAGUCGAAAGAUUAGCUAAUACCGCAUACGAUCUACGGAUGAAAGUGGGGGCUCGCAAGACCUCAUGCUCAUAGAGCGGCCGAUAUCUGAUUAGCUAGUUGGUGAGGUAAAGGCUCACCAAGGCAUCGAUCAGUAGCUGGUCUGAGAGGACGACCAGCCACACUGGGACUGAGACACGGCCCAGACUCCUACGGGAGGCAGCAGUGGGGAAUUUUGGACAAUGGGGGCAACCCUGAUCCAGCAAUGCCGCGUGAGUGAAGAAGGCCUUCGGGUUGUAAAGCUCUUUUGUCAGGGAAGAAACGGUGAGGGCUAAUAUCCCUUGCUAAUGACGGUACCUGAAGAAUAAGCACCGGCUAACUACGUGCCAGCAGCCGCGGUAAUACGUAGGGUGCAAGCGUUAAUCGGAAUUACUGGGCGUAAAGCGUGCGCAGGCGGUUGUGUAAGACAGGUGUGAAAUCCCCGGGCUUAACCUGGGAAUGGCAUUUGUGACUGCACGGCUAGAGUGUGUCAGAGGGGGGUAGAAUUCCACGUAGCAGUGAAAUGCGUAGAGAUGUGGAGGAAUACCGAUGGCGAAGGCAGCCCCCUGGGAUAACACUGACGCUCAUGCACGAAAGCGUGGGGAGCAAACAGGAUUAGAUACCCUAGUAGUCC
rnacentral:rRNA from 1 species